rnacentral:rRNA from 1 species
CCUACGGGGGGCAGCAGUCGAGAAUCAUUCACAAUGGGGGAAACCCUGACGGUGCGACGCCGCGUGGGGGAAUGAAGGUCUUCGGAUUGUAAACCCCUGUCAUGUGGGAGCAAAUUAAAAAGAUAGUACCACAAGAGGAAGAGACGGCUAACUCUGUGCCAGCAGCCGCGGUAAUACAGAGGUCUCAAGCGUUGUUCGGAAUCACUGGGCGUAAAGCGUGCGUAGGCUGUUUCGUAAGUCGUGUGUGAAAGGCGCGGGCUCAACCCGCGGACGGCACAUGAUACUGCGAGACUAGAGUAAAGGAGGGGGAACCGGAAUUCUCGGUGUAGCAGUGAAAUGCGUAGAUAUCGGGAGGAACACUCGUGGCGAAGGCGGGUUCCUGGACAUUAACUGACGCUGAGGCACGAAGGCCAGGGGAGCGAAAGGGAUUAGAUACCCCUGUAGUC